UCAGGACGAACGCUGGCUGCGUGCUUAACACAUGCAAGUCGAACGCUGAAGCCUGGUGCUUGCACCGGGUGGAUGAGUGGCGAACGGGUGAGUAACACGUGAGUAACCUGCCCCUGACUUCGGGAUAAGCCCGGGAAACUGGGUCUAAUACCGGAUACGACCGUCGGACGCAUGUCUGGUGGUGGAAAGUUUUUUCGGUUGGGGAUGGGCUCGCGGCCUAUCAGUUUGUUGGUGAGGUAAUGGCUCACCAAGACGACGACGGGUAGCCGGCCUGAGAGGGCGACCGGCCACACUGGGACUGAGACACGGCCCAGACUCCUACGGGAGGCAGCAGUGGGGAAUAUUGCACAAUGGGGGAAACCCUGAUGCAGCGACGCAGCGUGCGGGAUGACGGCCUUCGGGUUGUAAACCGCUUUCAGCAGGGAAGAAGCGCAAGUGACGGUACCUGCAGAAGAAGUACCGGCUAACUACGUGCCAGCAGCCGCGGUAAUACGUAGGGUACGAGCGUUGUCCGGAAUUAUUGGGCGUAAAGAGCUCGUAGGUGGUUGGUCACGUCUGCUGUGGAAACGCAACGCUUAACGUUGCGCGUGCAGUGGGUACGGGCUGACUAGAGUGCAGUAGGGGAGUCUGGAAUUCCUGGUGUAGCGGUGAAAUGCGCAGAUAUCAGGAGGAACACCGGUGGCGAAGGCGGGACUCUGGGCUGUAACUGACACUGAGGAGCGAAAGCAUGGGGAGCGAACAGGAUUAGAUACCCUGGUAGUCCAUGCCGUAAACGUUGGGCACUAGGUGUGGGGGGCAUUCCACGUUCUCCGCGCCGUAGCUAACGCAUUAA
rnacentral:rRNA from 1 species